UGGGGAAUAUUGGGCAAUGGGCGAAAGCCUGACCCAGCCACGCCGCGUGAGUGAUGAAGGCCUUCGGGUCGUAAAGCUCUGUGGGGAGGGACGAAUAAGUGGCGUACUAACACUACGUCGCCCUGACGGUACCUCCUUAGCAAGCACCGGCUAACCAUGUGCCAGCAGCCGCGGUAAUACAUGGGGUGCAAACGUUGCUCGGAAUUAUUGGGCGUAAAGCGCGCGUAGGCGGUUACUUAAGUCGGAUGUGAAAGCCCUCGGCUUAACUGAGGAAGUGCACCCGAAACUGAGUAGCUAGAGUACGAAAGAGGGUCGCGGAAUUCCCGGUGUAGAGGUGAAAUUCGUAGAUAUCGGGAGGAACACCGGUGGCGAAGGCGGCGACCUGGGUCGAGACUGACGCUGAGGCGCGAAAGCGUGGGGAGCAAACA
rnacentral:rRNA from 1 species